rnacentral:lncRNA from 1 species
UUUGGGCCUACAUUUGAGCUUGUCUUUUAUUGAUUUUUUUUAUUUCUGAAUUUUGAGUUGAUUUAUUGACAUUUUUGGGCUGAUUUUCGGGCCCAAAUGAGCCCAAAACCGAACCGAAAACCGAACCAUUAUUGAAACCGAACCGAAAAUUUUAUGAACCGAGAACGAACCGAAACCGAACCAAAACCGAGAAGGAACCGAACCGCAAGGAACCGAUCGGUUUGGUUUUUUGUUCUUUAGGAACCGAACACUUCGGUUCCGGUUCCGGUUUGUGCCUAAAACCGAACCGAACCGAAC